ACAGAGGGUGCAAGCGUUAAUCAGAAUGACUGGGCGUAAAGGGCGUGUAGGUGGUUGACUAGGUUUGAUGUGAAAUCCCCGGGCUUAACCUGGGAAUGGCGUCGAAAACGGGUUGACUAGAGUGAGAGAGAGGGUUGUGGAAUUUCCGGUGUAGCGGUGAAAUGCGUAGAUAUCGGAAAGAACAUCAGUGGCGAAGGCGACAACCUGGCUCUUAACUGACACUGAGGCGCGAAGGCGUGGGGAGCAAACAGG
rnacentral:rRNA from 1 species